AUUGAACGCUGGCGGCAGGCCUAACACAUGCAAGUCGAGCGAGCGGCGGACGGGUGAGUAAUGUAUGGGGACUGCCCGAUAGAGGGGGAUAACUAUUGGAAACGGUGGCUAAUACAGCAUACUGUCGGAUAACCCAUAUGGGAUUAGCUAGUAGGUAAGGUAAUGGCUUACCUAGGCGACGAUCCCGAGCUGGUCUGGGAGGAUGAUCAGCCAGACUGGAACGGAGACACGGCCCAAACUCCAACGGAGGCAGCAGUGGGGAAUAUUGCACAAUGGGCGCAGGCCUGAUGCAGCCAUGCCGCGUGUAUGAAGAAGGCCCGAGGGUUGUAAAGUACUUUCAGUCGGUAGGCGUUACCGACAGAAGAAGCACCGGCUAACUCCGUGCCAGCAGCCGCGGUAAUAC
rnacentral:rRNA from 1 species